CCCAGACUCCUACGGGAGGCAGCAGUGGGGAAUCUUCCGCAAUGGGCGAAAGCCUGACGGAGCAACGCCGCGUGAUCGAAUGAAGGCCUUCGGGUUGUAAAGAUCUUUUGACAGGGACGAAUAAGCCAUGCGAAUAGUUUGGUGUAUGACGGUACCUGUUUAGAAAGCUCCGGCUAACUACGUGCCAGCAGCCGCGGUAAUACGUAGGGAGCAAGCGUUGUCCGGAAUUACUGGGCGUAAAGGGCGCGUAGGUGGGUGCUUAAGUCAGGUGUGAAAACUACGGGCUUAACCUGUAGACUGCAGUUGAAACUGGCUUUCUUGAGUGAAGUAGAGGUUGGCGGAAUUCCGAGUGUAGCGGUGAAAUGCGUAGAUAUUCGGAGGAACACCGGUGGCGAAGGCGGCCAACUGGGCUUUAACUGACGCUGAGGCUCGAAAGUGUGGGGAGCAAACAGGAUUAGAUACCCCGGUAAU
rnacentral:rRNA from 1 species